GCAGGCUCAUUAUUAAUUCUAGAAUCAUUUGAAGCUUGGCUGUGAGACCCUGCACAUUUGAUAUAGAUUUUUGUCCAUCUAACUCAGAAAUAAGGGUCACUUUUUUGCACUGUCUGAAAGAAACAAAUAUGUAUGUCUUUCACAAUGAACUGCUGGUUAUGAAAUUAAGGAUAUUACAUUAAUUUAGCAAGUAUAUGUUUAUUCCUGUAUCAAAGUAUGCCUAUGGAAACAAAUUGAUAACAGGAAGUUAAGUCGUCUCAAUAUUCCUACAAUGUUUUCAGCAAGAAUUAAAAAAAAAAAUGCAUUCAAAACACAUAAUUUACACUGUUUAAAACAAGCAAAAUGCGAAGAUGUGUGUAUAUAUUGUGUGUGGCAUGGACAUCCCCAAUUCAGAAACAACAAAAUGUAAUGAUAGCUGAUCAAAUUAAUUAGUACUUUACAACUGCCCUACUUUAAUCAGAGGAAAAUGGCUGUACACAGGAUUUCAUGACCAAUCCUCCCAAAAGUUAUAUGGCCAGGCCAGGUAUCGCACCCACCAUCCUCGGAUUUAUAAUCCAGUGCACCACCAACUGGCCCAGUUACACGUGUUUAAGAAGCACUGAAAUUUAAAAACUGAUCCCUAUUUGGAUCCCAUAUCCAUUUCGCCAAAUCAGUUUUAAAUCGCAUUGGAUGAUGUUCAUGGAUAGACAUCGGAUCAAUGAUGCGAAUUUCAGUUAACCCAAUGCAGUUGAUAUCUCUCCUUGAAUAAUACAUUUUUCGUAUAAAACAAUCUUGCAUUCUUCAAAAGAGGCAAAGUAUGUUUAAUUCUGUCAAUAAAAAUUCCUUCCCAUAAAAAAAUCCUAGUGUUUCAGCUGCUUUUGUGUUCCAGUUUGUGCAGUUUGUUGAAAACACAAUCCUGGCCACACAAACUUUGUCCUGAAAUGUUUUUUGAUACAUCAAAGUUAAGUGCAUUCUGAAGUCAUGUGGUGAUAUAAUCAUUUUGUAAAAUGUGCAUGUGUAUGCAAGAUAUUUGCAAUAUUUAUUUUGAAAAUGUCUUUAAAUAUUAUGGUCUGAAAGGUUAUUUUUCUGCUGAGAUUGACUGUUGUGCCAACAUGACAAAACAAUGCUUUGUCUGAUGUCAGAUUUUGGUAGACAUCACAAGUUCUUGUUAAACAUAUAUCAUCAUGUGAAACUAUGACCUUGCAAUCAGAUGAUGCAUAUACAAAGUGAACACUUACCAAAAACAUGCCAAUACUUUGAUUCAAUGGAGAAAUCUAAAACUGAAUGAUGGUCUGUAAUUCGAAAUUGCCAAAGGCAAUACAUAUUUGGAUUUUGUGGAUUUUCCAGAGAGUCUGAUAUAGCCUCUGGCAUCUGGUUCCCUUCCAAAGUAUAAAAUCUCCUGAUUGACAUCCAUACUCUCAUUCCCUGUAGUAAUAUGUAUAAUGUAUAAUCUACUUAUAGUGAAAUCUUAAAUAAUAGUGUAAAUAACAAUAUUAACUUGAUGGUCCUUAAGAAUUCCGUCCAUUGAAGGCAGAGCUUCUUCACAUGGCCACUCAUCCAAACUAUCUUGAAUGAUUAGAAAUUUAAUACAUUCAUAAGGAAAAUGAAUACAUUUUGUUUUAUUUUAUCCUUUUUUAAAAAAUAGAAAAUGAAGAAAUUUGUUUUUUGAUUUUCCAGAUUUUAUUAGUUGAAAUGUGCCAUUUAUUAAUUUGUUGCAUUAAGUUAAUUGUUCUAGAACAAUUACAGUAAAUAAAUGUGUAGGGUAUGCUUAUAUUUUUUUUAAGAACAGUGCUUGAACAUUUACGUAAAAAAGGUAUUUUUGUGAUGGCCUGUCCGGUGCAACCUUGAAUAGUUUUUUUAUUAUGGUGACCCCACGGCAAUCAACCUCUCAUAGUGGCUGGGUGGCGUUGUCAGCUGAGAUAUUGGGAAAUGGUGCUUACUUGCAUAACAGUUUUAAAAGAAUAUCAAUACAACAUAAAUGUGUCAAAAUUGCGUCCUCGACCGUGGUAACAAGGUUUUUAAAGGGUUUGUCUUGGUAACCUUAUUUUUGGAUGCACAUAACCCUCAUGUAAAUGCAGCCUGUAGAAUUUUCCCAUGUAUAGUGUGCCCCCAUGUAUAACGCACAUGUGAUUGUUUAAAGCAAAAAUGACGAAAAACAAAGAAUUCAAGACCAACAAACCUGAAAAUCGGACCAAAAAUGGCUGUCAUUUUUAUACGCCCGUUUAAAAAAACAGAACGUAUUAUAGUUUCACCUUGGCGGUGGGCGGCGUCCACAGCAGUUUCCGCUGUCUAAUUCAAAUAGUUUUUAUCCAAUCUUCACUUAACUUGGUCAGAAGUUGUAUCUAGACAAUAUCUAGGUCAAGGUCGAAUAUGGGUCAUGCCGGGUCAAAAAGUAGGUCACAGGGUCACUCAGUGCAUUUCAAGCAUUUAGCAUGGUGUCCGUUCUCUAAUUGAAGUAGUUUUCAUCCGAUCUUCACCAAACUUGGUCAGAAGAUGUAUCUAGAUAAUAUUUAGGUCAAGUUCGAAUAUGGGUCAUGCCGGGUCAAAAACUAGGUCACAGGGUCACUUAAACCAUUUCAAACAUUAAGCAUGGUGUCAGCUCUCUAAUUGAAGUAGUUUUCAUCCGAUCUUCACCAAAUUUGGUCAGAAGUUGUGUCUAGACAAUAUCUACAUGUAGGUCAAGUUCAAAUAUGGGUCAUGCCAGGUUAAAAACUAGGUCACGAGGUCACUUAGUGCAUUUCAAGCAUUAAGCAUGGUGUCUGCUCUCUAAUUGAAGUAGUUUUCAUCAGAUGUUCAUCAACUUUGGUCAGAAGUUGUGUCUAGAUGAUAUGUAGGUCAAGUUAAAAUAUGGGUCAUGGUAAAGUUAUCAAGUUGUCCAAAGCCUUCAAACGGGCGUAUCUUGUGACAGUUUGGCACUCUUGUUAUAUCUUGUGAUGAUAAAAAUUCUGACAGAGUUUUAUAAGAAAUAAUCGUAAUGUCUUUGCAACAUUAUUCCCCAUAUACAAUGUAAAUCCUCAAUACAAUCAGGUAUUUUGCACUCUUUGAACUCCUCCCAUUGUGGCAGGUUUGUGCAUCAGAACACUCCUGACAGAUGACCACUGAAAUCCAUACCCAGCUGAAAUGCUUUCCAAAAGCUAUACAAUAUGGGCAGUUGUGGCAAGUGUUUUUUCUGAAUCCAAGAAAGCCUUUUUUAUCGUCAUUAUAAUCAAUGACUUGAACCUUUGUUUAUUGGAAGCAUAUAUUCACUGUCAAUGAUUUGGUGAACAGGUGAACUGAUGUCCAGAGCAUUUAUGAUUUGGUAACAAUAAAAUAAACUCUGACAAUAAAAAAACUGGUCCUGAUGAUGUUCUUAUAUUACAACUCUCAAUUACAGCCUUAAUUCUUCAAGCUCAUAGUUACACUCGGUUGUAUGAAAUUGGUAGGAACAUUUUUUCUCAAUAAUAUCUUUGCCAAGUUUGAAAAUGGGUUAGGUGGGGUAAACAACUAGGCCAAUUGAUCAAUAUUAUUCUAUUCCGCUUAUUAGAAUUACUACGGUAUUAAAUGAUCUGGCAACUGGUGAAACAAUGUCCCACACUAACUGGUUUAAUUGUACAACAACCAAACCCUCACAGUUUGACAGGAGGGCAUUAACCUCAUCUUUUAUCAGUUGGUUAUACUGUUCUUCCUCCAUACCCUGUCUGAACAUUUAAUUAAGUCCCUCAAUAAUUCUAUAUCCUCAUAGAAUUACAAUCAAACAUCGACUUAACCAAGGUAAGUCUCGUUUAAUUUUUAGCUCAUCUAUUUAAAAAAAAAAAAAGAGCUAUUGUCAUCAUCUUGGCGUCGGCGUCUGGUUAAGUUUUGCGUUUAGGUCCACUUUUCUCAUAAAGUAUCAAUGCUAUUGCAUUCAAACUUGGUACACUUACUUACUAUCAUGAGGGGACUGGGCAGGCAAAGGAAGAUAACUCUGGCAUGCAUUUUGACAGAAUUAUGUGCCCUUUUUAUACUUAGAAAAUAGAAAAUUUUGGUUUUGUGUUUAGGUCCAUUUUAUUCCAUAAGUAUUAAAGCUAUUGCUUUCAUACUUGCAACUCUUACUAACUACCAUAUGGGACAGUGCAGGCAAAGUUAUGAAAUUCUGACUGGCAUUUUGACAGAAUUAUGGGCACUUUAUACUUAGAAAAUUGAAAAUUUGGUUAAGUUUUGUAUUUUGGUCCACUUUACCCCUAAAGUAUCAUAGAUAUUGCUUUCAUACUUGGAACACUCGCAAACUAUCAUAAGGGGACAGUAAAGGACAAGUUGCAUAACUCUGGUUGUCAUUUUAAUGGAAUUAUGGCCCUUUUUUGACUUAGUAACUUUGAACAUAUGGUUAAAAUUUGUGUUUAGAUCCACUUUACUUCUAAAGAAUCAAGGGUAUUGCUUUCAAACUUCAAAGACUAUCAUGCUAUCAUGAGGGUUCUGUACCUGGCAAGUUGAAUUUUACCUUGACCUUAGAAUGACCUUGACUCACAAAGUCAAAUUAUUAAAUUUUUCUCAAAUUGCCAUAACAUCUUUAUUUAUGAUUAGAUUUGAUUGAUACUUUUACAAAACAACUAACUUGACAUACUACAAUUUUUUUUUAAAGAUCAUCUUAUAAAUGACCACCACACUCUCACACUAUACCCAACCCCCCAAAUUUUUUUGGGGGAAACAUGGUUAAAAAACACAAAUAUUUAUUUUUAUUAUUUUAUUUUUGAAAUACCGUCCAACCAUCCCACCCAAGAAUACCCCCCCCCCCCCAAAAAAAAUUAAAAAAAUUGUGCAUUUUUGGAAGAUAAUGUAAUAAAUGACCACACCCCCACAUUAUAUACCCCUCUCCACUCCACCCCUCCCUCCUUUGUGAUCGAAAUUGAGAUAGGUCCCUUCACCUUUAAAAAGAAAAAUAGAUGAGCGGUCUGCACCCGCAAGGCAGUGCUCUUCUUAAAUUAUUAAAGCACAAUUCAAACUAAAGUGUUUGUCAUCGUCAGGCAGUUUGUCUAAUCCUCUGCUAGCAUCCAAAGUUCAAAUUUACAAUGAAGUUCUUACCUGUAUGCUUCAACACAUAAGAUUUUAAAAAGCAAGCGAAAAAACAAAUGGAGAUGGCAAUGGCUGUCUGAAUGUGAUUCUAAGGGAAUGAAAUGGAAGGAUUGGCUUUAAAAGAUAGAUGUGUGUGGCGUUGUGUAUUGUAAAAAGUUAUUGUACAUGUACAAACAUAACCAUUGUUGAGAAUAGCUUUCUAUUUGCUGAUCAAUUUGCUAUCCUUCAGGAGCUUCCCUGCUGCCCCCAGCUAAAACAUUUCAUUCAGUAUUUUUCAUUUUUUAGCUUGGCGUUUUUGGAGAAAACCCGAGGUAUUGUCAUAGCCAGCUUGUCAUGUCGUCCGCCUUCUGACGUCCGGGUCGUGCUUAAACCUUAACAUUGGCUCUAAAAUCAAAGUGCUUCCACCUACAACUUUGAAACUUCAUAUGUAGAUGCACCUUGAUGAGUUCUACACGCCACACCCAUUUUGGGAUCACUAGGUCAAGGUAACUGUGACCUCAAAAAAAUAAAAUUCUGACAAGCUUUCAUUUAUUCAAAACUGCACCCGUAGCCGAGCGUGACACCCGUUAUGCGGUGCUCUUGUUUACUUUCACCCAUGCUAAUGUAAUUUCCACGCUAACUCAAGACAAGGUUUUGUACUGAUAAAUAUUUUGGUUUGUAAUUUUGUCAAUGUGUAUUUUUUUGUUAUGCUUAUUUGCAUAUAUAUUAAACAACAAGUUAAGUGUUGUGUUUAUAUAGAAUAUAUAAUCUCACUAAUCAGAUUUUGUAUUCUAUUGGUGAAUAUUCAUAGCUUACUUUUUGUAUGUUUUCAAUGUGAUGACAUGUAUAUUGUGUAUAAAUAGAGUUGCAUUAAUGUUUAAUUAGUAUGCAAUAUCUAUCUAAUCAGUAUUUUAUAUAUUUUUUAAUAAAGAUAUUUUACA